AUGGCGACCGGCGCACGGGUGAGUAACGCGUAUCCAACCUGCCCUUUACUCCGGGAUAGCCUUCUGAAAGGGAGUUUAAUACCGGAUGUGUUUGUCUUUCCGCAUGGGAGCGACAAAUAAAGAUUAAUUGGUAAAGGAUGGGGAUGCGUCCCAUUAGCUUGUUGGCGGGGUAACGGCCCACCAAGGCGACGAUGGGUAGGGGUUCUGAGAGGAAGGUCCCCCACAUUGGAACUGAGACACGGUCCAAACUCCUACGGGAGGCAGCAGUGAGGAAUAUUGGUCAAUGGGCGGGAGCCUGAACCAGCCAAGUAGCGUGAAGGACGACGGCCCUACGGGUUGUAAACUUCUUUUAUAAGGGAAUAAAGUUCGCCACGUGUGGUGUUUUGUAUGUACCUUAUGAAUAAGCAUCGGCUAAUUCCGUGCCAGCAGCCGCGGUAAUACGGAAGAUGCGAGCGUUAUCCGGAUUUAUUGGGUUUAAAGGGAGCGUAGGCGGGCUUUUAAGUCAGCGGUCAAAUGUCGUGGCUCAACCAUGUCAAGCCGUUGAAACUGUAAGCCUUGAGUCUGCACAGGGCACAUGGAAUUCGUGGUGUAGCGGUGAAAUGCUUAGAUAUCACGAAGAACUCCGAUCGCGAAGGCAUUGUGCCGGGGCAUAACUGACGCUGAGGCUCGAAAGUGCGGGUAUCAAACAGGAUUAGAUACCCUGGUAGUCCGCACGGUAAACGAUGAAUGCUCGCUAUGGGCGAUAUAUUGUCCGUGGCCAAGCGAAAGCGUUAAGCAUCCCACCUGGGGAGUACGCCGGCAACGGUGAAACUCAAAGGAAUUGACGGGGGCCCGCACAAGCGGAGGAACAUGUGGUUUAAUUCGAUGAUACGCGAGGAACCUUACCCGGGCUUGAAUUGCAGGUGCAUGAGUCAGAGAUGAUUCUUUCCUUCGGGACUCCUGUGAAGGUGCUGCAUGGUUGUCGUCAGCUCGUGCCGUGAGGUGUCGGCUUAAGUGCCAUAACGAGCGCAACCCUUCUCCCCAGUUGCCAUCGGGUAAUGCCGGGCCCUCUGGGGACACUGCCAUCGUAAGAUGCGAGGAAGGUGGGGAUGACGUCAAAUCAGCACGGCCCUUAC
rnacentral:rRNA from 1 species